UGCAGUCGAACGGUARCAUUUCUAGCUUGCUAGAAGAUGACGAGUGGCGGACGGGUGAGUAAUGCUUGGGAACUUGCCUUUGCGAGGGGGAUAACAGUUGGAAACGACUGCUAAUACCGCAUAAUGUCUUYGGACCAAACGGGGCUUCGGCUCCGGCGCAAAGAGAGGCCCAAGUGAGAUUAGCUAGUUGGUAAGGUAACGGCUUACCRAGGCGACGAUCUCUAGYUGUUCUGAGAGGAAGAUCAGCCACACUGGGACUGAGACACGGCCCAGACUCCUACGGGAGGCAGCAGUGGGGAAUAUUGCACAAUGGGGGAAACCCUGAUGCAGCCAUGCCGCGUGUGUGAAGAAGGCCUUCGGGUUGUAAAGCACUUUCAGUUGUGAGGAAAAGUUAGUAGUUAAUACCUGCUAGCCGUGACGUUAACAACAGAAGAAGCACCGGCUAACUCCGUGCCAGCAGCCGCGGUAAUACGGAGGGUGCGAGCGUUAAUCGGAAUUACUGGGCGUAAAGCGCACGCAGGCGGUUUGUUAAGCUAGAUGUGAAAGCCCCGGGCUCAACCUGGGAUGGUCAUUUAGAACUGGCAGACUAGAGUCUUGGAGAGGGGAGUGGAAUUCCAGGUGUAGCGGUGAAAUGCGUAGAUAUCUGGAGGAACAUCAGUGGCGAAGGCGACUCCCUGGCCAAAGACUGACGCUCAUGUGCGAAAGUGUGGGUAGCGAACAGGAUUAGAUACCCUGGUAGUCCACACCGUAAACGCUGUCUACUAGCUGUGUGUGUCUUUAAGACGUGCGUAGCGAANCUAACGCGCUAAGUAGACCGCCUGGGGAGUACGGCCGCAAGGUUAAAACUCAAAUGAAUUGACG
rnacentral:rRNA from 1 species